CGCAAUACAACCCUUCGUAGCGAAUCAACGUAGUUUUUAUUGAAAUCUCUGCAUGCACCCCCGCUCCGCCCCGCAUGGGGCCGUAAAGGAAAUGACAUGUGGUUCCCUAAUUAUACUCGUUCGUGAUUUGAGUAACCCCCAUGAAGGACAUCCACACAAACCUUACUGCACUAUGGUCCGCACACCUGCCGAAACAUUCCUUGCCCGAAAACUUCGGCACUAUAUACCCUACGAUUUUAGUAUCCCCAAACUAAAGCCCGGACAUAGAAAAACAAUGGGCAUUUAAUUCACCAAGUUAACCACACAGCCUGCGCCGGAGUCAGUUUUUGUCUCAACAAUAAAUCAUAGUUAGGUGCCAUUUACAGCCUUCUGGCCGUUUUGUUUGAAUUUUAUUUCGUUAUCAAAUAUGUUUGGAUUUUUUUAAAGCUUUGGGGUCCUCAUUCAUUACGAUUUCUUAAUAAAAAUAGUUUGAAACUACGUA